rnacentral:lncRNA from 1 species
UGAGGCGGAUCUCUCCGGCGGUGCCGGUGAGCACGUCCAUCUGGCUCAUCUUGACGAAGGACCUGGCGAACUGUUCGAAGAAGGCGGCCUGGUUGAGCGCGAAGCGUGUGGCGGUGCGCAUGGUGUCCGGGUGGUUGAUGAGGCCCUGGUCCGACUUGAACAGCCCCUGCUUGGCGAUGAGGUCGAAGUAGUACUUGUUGUCGAAGGCGUCGGGCGUGCGCACGUCCAGCACCUGGGUGACCACGUUCCCGCUGGGGUCGCUGGCGCACUUGGCCGCCAGCUUCCGCCGGAACGCCGGGUCCAUGGUGUCGUCGUCCGCGUUCGGCGGCAGACGGUCGCUGAAGGAGGAGCAGUGGCCGCGGCCCACGGUGUGCGCGCCGGAGAGAGCCACCAGGUCCGCCUUGUUCAGGCCGCGGUUCUCGAACGCCGAGAUCAGCGUCGGAACGUCGAAGAAGGGCGCCGGCAGGGUGCCCACCAGGUCGCUCGACGCCGGCGCCAGACCGUCGCGACGCCCCAGAGGAACGUCGAAGAAGGGGCCGCCGGACUGGAUGGAUGGAGUAGGCGUCGAUAUACAGCAAGGUAUCCAACGUACAUAUAUACUCUCAGAUAUAUAGUAGCUAGGGUGAUGAACGGCCGGCCGGCGAUGGACUUACCGCGACGACGGCGUCCCGGGUAGCUAGCGUGGUGAUGUCGGCGCAGGACACGGUUGGCCCACAGGUGGCGUGGACGUCGGCGCGGAUGUCGUCGAUGAGUUUCAGCGCCGCGGGACGCAGCGUCUGGUUGGGUAUCUCAAUCUGCUCGCUCUUGGGACCCGACAGGAGCACGGACGCGUCGCAGCCCUGAUCGAUGCAUGAUGGGUGAUCGAUGGUACUACGUUUUAUUAUUCACAGUUUCGUUCAUGGAUUAUAUAUUGUUAUAUGCUUGUGAACUGUGUGUGUGUGUGUGUGUGUGUUGGUCGGUCUUAAUUAAUUGGUCAUCGUCAGCAUCAACAACGUUUUAACGUAGCUCCAGGGCGGAUCGAUCGUUACCUGCGGGAAGCAGUCGUGGAAGAAGAUGCGGAUGAGCCCGGCGGCGAUGCCGAUGUCGCGGCGGAGUGCCUCGGUGACGUGCCAGCUCACGAUGUCCUCCACGUACGGGCAGGACGCGUCGUAGAACCUCCAGGAGAGGCCGUUUGCGAUAUCGGGUUCGUUCACGGUCACCGUGGCCGACGAGAGGGCGGCGCCGCAGACCGCUGAGAUGGCCACCAGCAGCUGCACGGCGGCCACUGAUCUGCUGCAGCUGCAGCGGGACGACCUGCCCAUUCUGCUUGCCAGGUGCAGCUAGCAAGCACGACGAUGUGUGGUGUGUGGCUUGCACAGGUCAACAGAAGGUGUAGUGCGUUAUUUAUAGGCGCGGUUAUGAAUGCAUAUGCAGCCCCAUAUAUUAUUCUCUAAUCCUCUCAUCGGUCUGAUCCACUAGCUGCAACUUGUUCCAUUUCAUUUGCAUUGCAUCAUCAUCAUAGAGUAAAGCAGCAAGGAAUAAUUAGCAUGGAUCAAGUGAAUGGUUGUAGGAGGUAAAAGUAUUUUUAUGUCGCAUCGCAUGCGUUUUAAAUUAAAUCCUAGUAACAUUUUUAUUAUAGACACAAUAAGUCUUCUGCCGCCAUAUAUAUAUCAUAUAUAUAGAUAUGCAUGCAACUUCGUUGCAGCUUCGUUCCACAUACACUGCACACCCACCUACUACUCACUGUUAUACUAAAUACUAGUGUCAUCUAUCCCUGAGUUGCUCACUCAAGCUGACCAUUUUUCUUGCAUGCAUUGCAUUGGUUCCUUUUGUCAGCGCGUCUGUUGGUUUGAAUAUAUAUAUGGCACCUGCUCAUCGAUCAUAUUCCACGGACCAAGAUAGAUAGGUUAGACUAACAAGAGCGAGCCAACAAGUGGUACAAGAUGAUGCAUUUCUCUAACGACAUCUUUGAAUACUAUACAUGUUAAUAGGAAUGUCUAGUGUAAGUGUACACUCCGCAGGUUGGAAAGCUAGCUAGCUGCCUGCCACCUUUUUCUUUUGAUUUGGAAAAUGCAUGACAGUUUACAACGUCGUAAGUUAAUGAUCCGUUGUUAGCUAGGAAAAUGACAUUCGGAUGGGAUGAUAGGGAUGAGACCUGCCACUUGCAUUUGCUAUUUUGCCACGGGCUAUUCUCAUUCUAUCCCAGCAUAAUCUUGACCAGCAUCAGGUCAGCCAGGGAGGCAGCAUGGGUUCACCCUCUCCAAAAGUCAAGCCAUUCCCUCACAAAUUUGAUCCACAGGGACCUCGACCAUGUUCAGCAACCUACAAGUACAAGCGGUGUAUAUAUACCUAAUAAUUAAGGGCAUGUUUGAGCUAAUAGCCAAACAGGUCAACACAGGUCCCCGAGAUGCCGCUCCGUGCACGAAGCCCGCGUCCCCGCUGUCUAGAGUGGCAGACGAGAGGACCCGAAUAAGCGGGAACUCAAAUUUAUCAACCAUAAAAAUCAUGGGCAUAUUGAGGCCUUGUUUAGUUCGCAAAAUUUUUUGUUUUUGGCUAUUGUAGCAUUUCGUUUUUAUUUGACAAACAUUGUCCAAUCACGGAGUAACUAGACUCAAAAGAUUUAUCUCACAAAUUACAGGUAAACUGUACAGUUAGUUUUAAUUUUUGUCUAUAUUUAAUGCUCCAUGCAUGCGACUAAAGAUUCGAUAUUUACGAGGAAUUUUAAAAAAUUUUGCGAACUAAACAAGGCCUGAAAUUGUCUAUGACACCACAUAGCAACAAAUUAUGAUAAAAUUACAACAGAUCAUGCUACCUAGCUAGUGCCAUGAAGCGCCCAGAAGUGCUCCACCAGAUCAUCGAUCUCGAAGUAAUCAUUGGUGGAGAAGCCUAAACUGCUAGAAAAAUGCAAGCAAGAGUUUUUGAGGGGUAGAGCAAAAGCAAAAACACCGGGUCUGCAAAAGUCCUAAAUUGAAAAGCAAGGUGAGGCCAAGCUUUGAAGAGUUAUUAGCCAAAUAUAUACAAAGAAGAAAGGGGCUAAUCAAAAGGAAAAGAAUUUUCCACGGGAGAAUGAUUUGAAAUCAUUGACAACACACAUAAGGAAGAACUAAAGCCAUCAGUCAUGCAUAAUGUAAUCAAGCCACUGUAACGCAUCCCAUUCUAUUUCCGUGCCGACUUGGUUAUAUCCUUUAUUUGCACUUACUACUAACCUUGCUUGGGUAUGCAUAGGCAGUCAUAAUUCAAUAUUUAGUGUAAUGCGUAUUGCAUAUUCAAAGUAUAUAUAAUUAUCAUCACCAUGGCCAAUUGCUGUUAACAAUAAUUUGGUCGGUCGUCAUAAAGAAAGUGAGAAGGGCAGCGAAGAAGUGUCCCUCUGGAUUAUCUGAGACACAAAAGAGGGAGACCCAACAGUGGACGCGCCAGAUCAAUGAAUGAAACAAUAAGCGUAAGUGAUUCGAUCCAGCAUAUAGCUAGCAGCAGUUGGAGCCGGCAUAACAACAGUUACGGAACUUAUUAUCCGAAUCCGAUCCCGCCCGUUUCCGUUAUUGCGGAAAAAUCCAGAAAUGCAUCGUACGUCGACACUAGCGUGCCACCGGCCGGACUUCCUGGUUCCUGCUCGUCGCGGUGACCGUGAGUCGAUCAGGCGGGCGGACCGGCCACCGCCCACGCUGUGCUGCACAGUUGCAGGUGCUGUACGUUAGUUGCUUCGUCCUCCAUGAGACACAGUUGUAAUCGAUCGCCAUUUUUAGGGCAAGAAAAGGCAAAAAGGAUAUAUACACAGAUAAAAGAUGGAUCUUGCUUCUACUCUGAUCUCGAUCGUCACCCAUGCAUUUGGCCAUUUAUUAUAACAAAUUCGUAAGCUAACACGUACGACGAUACAGAGGAUGCAAAUGCAUGCAUGCGCUAGCAAGGCCAGUGACACACACACGUACGCACGGCCGGCCGCGAUGAGAUGAUCGAUGCCUCUUUAAUUUUGUAAUCACGCGUCGGCCGCGAGCCCCUCGUCGCUGUGGCCUGCAGAUGCGAAGAAGGCGGCCUGGUUCAGCGCGUAGCGCGUGGCGGUGCGGUUGUUUACGUGUUGCCGUCGCUCAUGAGGCCCUGGUCCGACUUGAACAGCCCCUGCUUCGCGAUCAGGUCCAAGCAGUACGUACUUGUUGUCCAAGGCGUCGGGCGUGCGCACGUCCAGCACCUGCGCCGCGUUCCAGACUGCAUGCAAGGGCAUUAUUGCUUUUUUGUCGUCAGCAUGCAGCAGCUGCAUUGUACGUGGACGUGGUCCGGCGAUGGACGGACUUACGUACCGCGACGACGGCGUCCCUGGUGGCUAGCGUGAUGAUGUCGGCGCAUGCAGGACACCGUGGGCCCGCAGGCGGCGUGGACGGCGGCGCGGAUGUCGUCGAUGAGCUUCCGCGCCUCGGGACGGAGCGUCUCGUUGGGUCCCAGAUUCUGCUCGCUGUCGGAACCCGACAGGAGGACGGACGCGUCGCAGCCCUAAUGAAAUUUGCAUUGCCAUUAGCAUCAGCACACACCAACGACGACGUACUGGUCCAUGCAAGACCAUACGUACCUGCGGGAAGCAGUCGUGGAAGAAGAUGCGGAUGAGGCCGGCGGCGAUGCCCAUGUCGCGGCGGAGGGCGUCGGCGACGUGCCAGCGCACGAUGCCCUCUACGGAGGGGCAGGACGCGUCGUAGAAGCUCCGUUCACGAUGGGCUCGUUCACGGUCACCGUGGCCGACGAGACGGCGGCGCAAAUGGCUAUUGUUGUUGCCGCAAGCGCAAGGACGCCGGCCACUGCUACUCUAGCCAUUUUGCAGUGCUGCUUGAUGUGGCUAGUGAUGCUGUGUGUGGCUUCCACGAGCACGAGUCAUUUAUUUAUAGGCGGGCGAUUAAUAUGGAUAUGCUGGUCGGAUCGGACCACAUCCCAUCUAGGCAUGCAUGCAUGCAUUCAUUGCAUCCGCCGGUCUGAUUGAUCCACUUGUUCAAUUUGUACAUAUAUUUGCAUCGACAUCGAGAGCAUCAUCUUGGACUGAAGCAGGUAGAAAAGCUGCAUUGGUUCAAGUGAAUGGUGGUAGGUGGUGAUUAAAGGUAAUUUUAUUUUAGGGCAUGUACAACCGAUAGACGAGGUGAUGUCUCUAACCGUCUCGAAUUAAACGUAGAGACAACUAAAAAGACACGUCGUACAACCCAUAGACGGUGAGUCGUCUGCAAGCUGUUUAAUGUUGUGUAUAUAGUCAAGAUUAAUCAUGAAUACUAUUUUGUGUACCACCGUGUUGCUAGUCUGAACCAAAAACAAGUUGCUCCGAAUCAAACUGAAACACCGCUUCAAGUAAUUUUCAUGUAGCAAUAACGCAUUACACAGAUACAACAUAUACUUGUUAACCGAAAUCAAUUGCAUCGUUGUGUUCUUUGCAAUGGCAAGUGAAAUAAUUUAGCAUUUCAAUUUGAAAUUUAUAUGUGAAAGUAGCGCUAUAUAUAGAGCAGUGCUCGAUUAUGAAUCAGAUUGGACCCCAUCAAAGAUAUGAAAUGCAACAUCAGGCAAUGAAGCAUCAGCUAGAUGCAGACAAUCCAUGAACUACUACGAGCUGUAUUCAACUCAACGGAACGUGGACUCGCAAUGCAAAGCUAGCAAGAAUCAAAAGGCAGAGGCAGGGACGGAGGUCGCCUGCGCGCAGGCGCCGUGGGGUUGAGCUCGCUCGCGCGGCUCGCGGUGGCCGGAGCAGCUUCAUCCAACCUAUAUCUUUGUGAGAGGAGGGAAAAAACAACUUCACCCAUAAAGCUGUUUUGAAAAUAAGUGUUUGGCAAAAAAAAACAGCUCACAACAGCUCAUGAAGCUGUUGUGAGCUGUACCAAACAGGCCCUACAUAACACACACAGCUAGCUAGCUUGCUUUAGUCGUACACUCAGCCAGUUUCCCUUUCCAAUUCGGAUAAAUGCAAGUUUAAAUCUUAGGUUAACCAUCGGCUCGUUGUGAGGAAAAUGACAUUCGGAUGGAAUAUGAUCAGGAUGCAUGUGAUGCCUAACUCACAGAGUGCUGACAUAGCUUGUGUGGACACAUGUGCGUGCGGUUCUUGAUGCAACUUGUUAGUUCCUAUCCUAUGCAGUGUGUACUCCCUCCGUCUAUAAAAAAAAUAACGUUUUUGACUUUAUCAUGUUUAAUUAUUCAUCUUAUUCAAAAAAUUUCUAUAAAUUAUAAAUAAAUAAAUAUUAAAAUAUACUUAAUGAUUAAAUAAGUUAUAAUAAAAUAGAUGAUAUUUAGAUAAAAAGAUAAAUAAGAUGGAUGGUCCAAAAAGAUGUCUAAAAAUAAAAAACAAUAUUAUUUUUGGGACAGAUGGAAUACAUAUAUAGGCCUUGUUUAGUUAUCAAAAUUUUUCAAUAUUCUCCGUCACAUCGAAUCUUUAGAGUCAUGUAUGAAGCAUUAAAUAUAGAUAAAAAUAAAAUCUAAUUGUAUAGUUUGCCUGUAAUUUAUGAGAUGAAUCUUUAAGCUUAGUUAGUCCAUAUUGAAUAAAAUUUGUCAAAUACAAACGAAAAUACUACAGUAGCCAAAGCUAAAAAUUUUCGUGAACUCAACAAGGCCAUAGUCGUUAAGGCCUUGUUUAGUUCCCUAAAAAUUUUACAAAAUUGUUCAGAUUCUCCGUCACAUCAAAUCUUUAGACAUAUGUAUGGAGUAUUAAAUAUAGAUAAAAAUAAAAACUAAUUGCACAGUUUGGUUGGAAUUGACGAGACGAAUCUUUUAAGCCUAGUUAGUUCAUAAUUAGACAAUAUUUGUCAAAUACAAACGAAAGUGCUACUAUUCCUAUUUUGUAAAAUCAUUUGAUCAUUUGUUGACUUGGAUCGGGUCAGUCAUCUCUCUGUUAUGGCGGCAGGGCAGCAGCAUGGGUUCCUACACUGUUCAUUGCUUGCCAAACUUUGUACUAGUACUAGGCACGUGCUGGUCAUUCACAAAACUACAAGAAAGGCAUGUACCUUGUUCAGCACACUAAAAAUACUGAUACGCUAGAUUUCUGCACAAACCAUAUCUCUUUCAAUGAAAUAGAGACAGGGGAAUAUAAUGCAAUGUCGGAAAAACAUACUUUUAGUAUACACACAAGCACUGUAUACACGCAAUUUCAAUACGGCCUUGUUUAGUUACUAAAAAUUUUCAAGAUUCCUCGUCACAUCGAAGUUUACAGCACAUGCAUGGUGCAUUAAAUAUAUAUAAAAAAACUAAUUGCACAAUGUAUCUGUAAAUUACGAGACGAAUCUUUUAAGCCUAGUUACUCUAUGAUUGGACAAUAUUGUCAAAUAAAAACGAAAAUGCUACAGUGUUAAAAUCAAAAAAAAAUUGCGAACUAAACAGUGUAUUCAUUUGUUUACAGCUACUCCGUCUCCGUGCGAGAGAAUACCUUGCUUUUUUUUUACUCGUGUAGCCAUUCGUCCGCCGUAGCACUAGCAUGCAUAACUUCCGUGAACCUUCGAAAUACACUGCACCGGCCGGCCGGCCAGCCACCUAAUCCGCUGCAUCGAAAUAUGAUAUCGUCUCAUGAGUACCCCCACGGUGGCCCCACCAAAACAAGACGUUAAUUAAGAUUGAGCACUAUAGUAAUGUAUGCUUUCUAGCAUGUCAAAAAUAAUGUGGAGGCUUGUGUUGGAAGAUGUAGUGGUUAGGUUGUUGUAUUUGUAGCCUUUCAUCAAUGGAGGCAGACAAUGUAUGACAAUAAUCUCUAUUAACCAUUAACAAAUAUGGUUGCCUUAAACUGACUGCCCUCCUAAGUCAUUAACAGAAAUGGUUGCCUUAAACUGGUCGCCUCCGUUGAUAAUCUAUUAACAAAGACGGUUGGCGUAGGAGGACAAUCUUCGUUAGAUGAUUAACGAAGGCGGCCGUGUUAAGAUGUCCCCCUCUGUUAAUAUAUUUUGUUAAUAGAGGCAGCCAAGUAACGACACUCGCCUUCUCUCUCGAGUACUCCCUCCAUAGUCCAUACUCAUAAAGAAAGUCGUUUUGGACAAGAUUUGAAUCAAACAUUGAGAAUAUAAAUCAUAAAUAACUUUUAAGCUGUUGAGUUUGAAAAUGUGAAAAUCAUAUGAACAGAUUAGUCUUGAAAAACACUUUCAUAAAAUAUGCAUAUGCCACUUUUCGAUAAAUAUUUUUAUAAAAACAAAGAGUCAAAGUUAGGCUUUGGAGACCGGGUCGUUAUCCUAAACGACUUUCUUAAUGGGUAUGGAGGGAGUACUUGCUUCCAAGCGAGGUGAGGUCUUGAUCAUGCAGCGUAUGGGCUACACCAAGGGUCCAUCAACGCCAUUCACGUCGAAAGUGGAGGCCUAUGACACGAUCUUAGAUGGCUACCUAACUGCAUCCAACGCCGAAGCACUGGGACGUGCUCUUCGCGGACGGUUCAUCUAGGUAGCCGCAAAGACGCAAGGCCACCUCGUAGAUUGCACCGCUGCAUCGGUAUUGGUUGUUUUUCAUUUAUGUAAUAUCGAAGUUCUUUUGCUAGGAUGGUCCAUCUACGACUAUUUUAGGUUGACCUCCUUUAGCGCUCGAUAGAAGCACGUUGUUUGUAAGUUCGAACUCUUUUUCUUAAUAUAAAGAUGUACAAAUCUUUUGUGUAUUCGAGGAGAACAAAUUGACGCUCACUUUCAUUAAAGGAUUAACAGAGACAAGUGACUUACAACGUCUGCUUCCGUUAAUGGUCUAAUGACGACAAAGAUGAUCAUCUUAAGUCGUCUGGCUUGGUUAAUUGUUAAUGGAGGUGGAUGUUUCUCCACAGACAACCUCCACUCUAUUAACGGAGGUGGCAGACUACUAUGCUUGCCUCCAUUAAUGUUUGGAGCCUGUCAAUGUAGUAGUACUCCAUAUAUAUAUAUAAAAGUUGUUUUGGACAAGAUUUAUAUCUAACAUUAAAAAUAUAAAUCAUAAAUAAUUUUUAAGUUGUUGAGUUUUAAAAUAUGAAAAUCAUAUGAAUAAAUUUGUCUUGAAAAUAAAAAUAUACGUAUACUAUUUUUUGAUAAUUUUUUUUUAUAAAAACAAGAAGUUAAAGUUAGACUUUGGACAUUGUUUCGCUGUCGUAAACGAUUUUCUUUAUAUGUAUAGAGGGAGUACAUGUUUUAAGUAGAGGCAUGGAAUAUAAUGAUAUUUUAUUUAUGGGUGUCCAUCACUUAUGCAGAUCUGCUAUGUCUAACACGAUCAAAUCUAGUGUACAUAAUUAAUUAAGCCUACUUAAAUUUGAGUGUGGGUGUUGUGUCUUCAUGAGACUGGAAACACGGCCGGGGUUUCAUCGGGAUGGUUGCCCCUAUGCACAUGCAGAUUGCUUAAUUUCCGGCGGACACCGGACACGUGCAUGCUGAGUAUUACCGACAUCAUCGUGAUCUUGACUCUUUGGAUGCAGCGGAGUACGAGUGGAUGUGGACCGAUCGAGUCAGUCAUGGCGGCAGCUUUCCUACUCCGAUCCGAUCCGAUCCCUCUUGCAUGCAUGCAUCUGCUCUGUCCACUUGCACCAAAUCUGCACUAUAUUUUCCUUAAAUAAGUACUUCUUUGUGACAACCAAACAUGUACGGCUGUACGAUAGAGUAUGUUUAUUUCGUUCGUGGGGUAAUCAUGGUCUAAAAUUUUAGACCACUUUAACACUCCUAAUAUGCAAACAAGAAUUCUAAAGUGUUAUAUAAAAUUUAUUAGUUACCUCAGAAAAUUUUAGACGACAUAAGUAAGUUAAAGUAGUGUAAAGUUUGGUCAUUGACUUCAACCAACUAUACCAAAUGGACACGUAGACAUAGUCCAUUUAAACAUGGUAGGUGUGAUACUUGUACCGGUCCUCGGCGAGUGUUGUUAUCAUAUACUCCUUUCGUUAUGUAAUAUAAUGCAUUCGAGCAUUCAAAAUUUAUCCUCAAAUAUAAUAUAUUUUAGAGAACAAAAACUAGUUUUUAUUAAAUAUUUUCUAUUUAUCAAUCUAGAUAAAGUUUGUGUGGGCAAAGGCUCCCCUCAGAAGCUACCACUACUAGAGUCGUUUUUGCCAAAUGUUUCUAAAAUAGUUUCAACUUCACGAGAAGCUGUUUCACAAGAGAAGUCAAAGGUGAAAACCCUUUUAGGUGGAGCUAGAGCCUUGACAAACUAGCCCUAAACGUACCAAAAAUUUAACACUAAUUUCAGUACUAUUACUAGGUAUCAUCAAGAACUAUGGCGCUCUGUAAAUUGGGGUGUGUUUGACAUUCUCCCUCACUUCUUGUAGAGUUGUACCUUGUGCUUUAGCUUUAGUGAAAUUCUUUAUUAAGAAAACUUGAGAAGAAGAUGCAAAUAGUCUUGUUUUCAACCGUUACCUAAAGUCACUAAUACCUCUUUUUGAUGUAUAUAUUGUGUACGAAAUUAGAAAUUGAAAUCAGCUUUCCUAAUUUUUGUUGUUUGUUUGCAUGCGGAAAAAAAGUUCAGAUCUAAGAUAUAAUCUAGUAAAGUCAAAAGAAAAAGGAAUCGUCCGUAAAGCGGGGAGGGGACAAAAAAUUUGGAAGAAAAUGGUGAGCAAGAAAGUAUUGUUGGCUGAUUUAUUAUGAGAGAUAGUGCUGAAUGGCUAACAGUUUCGGCCGAUAAACCCAAACGAACGAGGCGAACUAGGGGGUCCAAACACCUCAUCAGUUUUUGCUCGUAAUUCUAUAUCUGAAAAACUAAAAGCAAAAAUAGUUUUUUAAGAAUAUGAAACUCAUCAAACAGAUGCCAUGUAAUGAAACACUAUAUAUUGCUUAUAAUAAAUAACAGCGCGGCGCGCAGGAUCUAAUCAGAUCAGAUCUGAGCCUGAACAAAAAUCGGCAGUGCGACGUGGACGGACGCCGACAUGGUGGUGACUGCUACAAGUGGACAGCCACGUGCCCGCGCUCACGGCACGGGCGUUGUUUUUUUAUUUAUUGUUGUUAGGACUAGUGACACUGACACUGGCGGUGGAUGGAUCCGAGGUCGGUCGGAGCACUCAAGCAGUGGCGGCGGCGAUAUCGACAUCGCUGUUGGUGUUUGGGCGUAAGCAGUUCCGGCGGAUCUCGCCGACGUUCCCCUGCGGUCCCUUGAGCUGGCUCAUCUUGACCAUGGAGGUCCCGAACUGGUCGAAGAACCACCAGUGGUUGUCGGCGAAGCCCUGGACGAGCCAGCUGGUGCGCGGGUCCGUGGCCAGGCCCUGGUCCGACGGCAGCAUCACCCCCUUGUUCUUCUUCAGCGUCAGCUCGAUGAAGUAGAGGUUGUCGAACACCGCCGGCGUCAGGAAGUCCAGAUCCCGCAGCGUGUCGCCGGCGCCGGCCGCGGAGCACGUGGCCGUCACGCACCGGGUGAUGUCGUCGGUGGCCGGCCCCGCCACGUCGCCGAACGAGCUGCACCGCGCCUUCCCCA